AACUCUAUUUCCACUGUAUUGUUUUGUUUCUCGACCCACUUUCUCUCAGCGUUGUCUUAUCAAUGAUACCUGACCGCUAUGGCUAAGAUUGCAACAAUCAUUAACAUGUCACACACUUUCCAUUAUCAGUAAUAACAAGAACAUUAUAACUACUACCAUGACAACAAUGAGAAUAUAUCCAGCGCCAUUACUAACACUGAACUAUUAGCAUUGUAUAAUGCAAAAAGUCUGGACCAAAUCAAAAAAAGGCAACAAAAAUAAACUCAGCCUGGUAAGUGCAAUACAAUUGAUGAAGAAAACUACAUAUUAGUUCUGCUGAGGAUAUCUUGCAACCCUCCUCACCAGGCAAGACUAAUGAAGGUUCCUGUUUAGUUCACGAUGACCCAAGCAUGCAACAGGAUGUACUGGAUUCCAUGCUAUCAGAGCGCUCUUGAAAGAAACCUGACGACCUGGUAAAAACAAGUCCUGUCAAAAGUAUGGAUGAACCUUGUUCAUUGGACUACGGCCAUGCUGGAGCACAACCUUUAGUCGAACAAAUCGACCCCAGGACGUAUUCUUUGUAAGCCUAGUACUUAUUCUAUUGGUCUCGCUUUUGCUGAACUGCUAAGUUACAGGGGCAUAAACACACCAACAUAGAUUGUUAAGCGAUGGUGGGGGAACAAACAUACAAACACACACACACACACAUACACACACACACACACACACACACACAGAUAUAUAUAUAUAUACGACAGGCUUCUUUCAGUUUCCGUCUACCAAAUCUACUCACAAGGCGUUGGUCAGUCCGAGGCAUCAAUGCCUCCUGGACUACAGGUGUUACCAGUUAAAAAUAAAGACCUCAACGCUCACACCCCCUGGGGAUGAGGAAAUGAGCAUUGUGCAACGUGCCUGUAUAUGAACUGUCAAAUUUUAAAAAUAUCAA